CCCUAGUAACUGCGAGUGAAGCGGGAAAAGCUCAAAUUUAAAAUCUGGUGGUCUUUGGCCGUCCGAGUUGUAAUUUAGAGAAGCGUCUUCCGCGCUGGACCGUGCACAAGUCUCCUGGAAUGGAGCGUCAUAGAGGGUGAGAAUCCCGUCUUUGGCACGGAUGCCUGGUGCUUCUGUGAUGCGCUCUCAAAGAGUCGAGUUGUUUGGGAAUGCAGCUCAAAAUGGGUGGUGAACUCCAUCUAAAGCUAAAUAUUGGCGAGAGACCGAUAGCGAACAAGUACCGUGAGGGAAAGAUGAAAAGCACUUUGGAAAGAGAGUGAAACAGUACGUGAAAUUGUUGAAAGGGAAACGCUUGAAGUCAGUCGCGUCGACCGAGACUCAGCCUUGCCUUGGCUUGGUGUACUUCUCGGCCCGACGGGUCAGCGUCAAUUUUGCCCCUCGGAUAAUGGCAAGGGAAAGGUGGCACCUUUAUGGUGUGUUAUAGUCUCCUGUCGCAUGUGAGGGGUGGGAUUGAGGAACUCAGCGCGCACCUUGGUGUUGGGGCUUCGGCCCACGUCACGCGCUUAGGAUGCUGGCGUAAUGGCUUUAAACGACCCGUCUUGAAACACGGAC
rnacentral:rRNA from 1 species